rnacentral:lncRNA from 1 species
UAGCCACCAGCAGCAGUACCGCCACUGCCGGUGCCGCUACCAUCGCCUUGGGAGGAGCCUUGAUCAUCCAAGAAUAGGUUCUUGAAUGCCUCCUCCAGAUCAGUGUCCUCAGGUGUAUGUUGUUCCCUUCUAGCUCCCAGUUCCCAGUCCUUGAUGCAGGUAAGCAUCUCCACAUGCUCAGGUAACAAGCGUCGUCGCCGGUCUUCGAGAAUCCUAGAUGUACAGCUAAAACAAGACUCGGAAGAGACAGUAGAUACAGGGACAGACAUGAUAUCUCGAACCAUAAUAGACAGGACUGGAUAGGUUAGCUUGUGGUCACGCCACCAGAGUAGAAUGUCAAAAGUUUCCUCAUAACAUGUGACAGGGUCAGCGUCCAAGUAAGACUUGAGCUCACUCUCAACAGAUGGAGCAGCUGAUGAUGAUUGGAAACAGGUAGGGGAUGCACCAGGACCUCCAAAGAUCCUUCCCCAUGCCUGCUUUCUCUUACCAGUAUGAGCUGAAGGCAUUGCAACCCUCUGAGACCUGGCACCUCCAAAUUUCUCUUCAUACUUGGCAAACAGUCUAUAUAAUUCAUUUUUCACCUCUCCAUAGUACAGAUUGUAACUGGUGCCCAAUGCCUUACCAAGUAGUUCAAGCACAUUAAAAAAAUCCUUUCAUCUUAGCUCUAGGAUCAAGUAUGAAUGCAUAAGAAUAAAUGAGUGGAAUUUUCUCCCAGUAUUUAAGGAAUUUAUGCUUCAUAGGAUAAGCAAUAGCUCUAAAAUUCUGAUCUUUUUCAGCUGUUUGCAAAUGUUCAGCAAUUUCAAGAAUAUGAUGCAAAACAAGUGGAGCAGUAGGAUAAUACACACCAGAUAGAACAACAGUGCAAUCAUAAAAGAUUUCUAGAAAUAUCAUUAUUUGUUCAGCUACAUGCCAAUGCUGCAGAGUCAACAACUCACAACCAUAGUUAGAGUUAAGCCACACAUGAAAUACUUCCUUGUAUGGCAGCAAGUGUUUGAGCAUCAAAUAAGUAGAAUUCCAUCUAACAUCCAUAUCCAACCCAAACUUCCUAGGCCUAAGACCUUGAGCAAUGCAAUAGUUUUUAAACAAAGCAAUUCUCUGAUUAGAAGAGUUUAAAAAAUUUAUUGCAGUUCUAAAGUCUUCAGUAUAGGGUUUCAACCUUUUUAAGCCAGAUUUAACAAUUAGAUUAAUGAUAUGGCAUGCACAACGCUGAUGCACAAGCAAAUAUUUGACCUUUGCAGGGUCAUCUUUUGUAGGUGCAGGAUAAGAGCCCAAAUAACCAAAUAACAUAGGUUGCAAUAUCUCAUGAGCCCUAGAAUUUGCAGAAGCAUUGUCUAGAGAUACAGAAAACACUUUGUCAAUCAGACCAAACUCUUCAACAACACUAGCAAUCCUAUCAGCAAUGUUUUCACCAGAAUGGGACACUUCAAUCAAUCUUAAACCAACUACUUUUUUCUGUAACUCCCAAUCUGCACUAACAUAAUGAGCAACAACGGAUAUGUAAUCCUCCUUAGCAUUACCAGACCAGAUAUCAGAUGUCAAGGAAACAGAAGAUGUAGCAGGCAAGACAGUUUUCAUAAGCAUAUCACGUUGUUCACCAAACAAUUUAGUCAUAUCUCUAGUGGUGGUCUGCCUAGAUACCUUUUCAAACAGAGGAUUAUGAGCACGCUUAAUGUAUUCUUCCCAUGCCUGAGUCUCACCUAUGCCUAAAGGAAGAUCAAGCCUAGCAAUCAAACGACAUAGUUCUAACCGAGCAACCAUAGGAUCAUAAACCCAAUUUUUCAAGCCAUCAGGGUUCAAUGCAAGCUUAGACUGUGUCAUAGUAGCAUGAUUGCGUUUAGCCAUACAUGAUUUCAUGUGUCGUCUCAAA